rnacentral:lncRNA from 10 species
ACACCCUGCCUCAAAAAAAAAAAAUAAAAUAAAGGAAAAAUCAGGAUAAAUGCAGGGAUGUUCUAAACUUUUUAAAAUAAUAAAUAAUAGUACUUAAAACUGCACUGGGACUUUUGGGACACCCCUAGCAUCUCUGGCUGCAGAAAGCAUAAAAUAAGAUUGUAGAAAUAAAUCCAGAUAUUAGGAACCACAACAGGUGUAAAUGAAGCAAAGCUGCUAGUUGAAGAUGUUGUCGGAUUGAACUGAAAUACAAAAUCCUGUGAUAUCCUGUUUAUACGCGAUACAUCUAAAAUGUAAGUACACAACACAAUUGAAAGUAAAAAAACAUUAAAA